rnacentral:misc_RNA from 1 species
UGUGGGAGCGAGCUUGCUCGCGAUGGCGGUGGCUCAGUCAACAUAGAUGUUGAAGCUGAUGUCCUCAUCGCGAGCAAGCUCGCUCCCACA